AACGAACGCUGGCGGCGCGCCUAACACAUGCAAGUCGAACGAGAAUCCGGGGCAACCCGGUAGUAAAGUGGCAAACGGGUGAGGAAUACAUGGGUAACCUACCCUUGAGAAGGGAAUAACCCGCCGAAAGGUGAGCUAAUACCCUAUACGCUAUCUUUUUUUCGAAAAGGAUAGGAAAGCCGGGUCGAGGACCUGGUACUCAAGGAGGGGCUCAUGUCCUAUCAGCUUAUUGGUGGGGUAACGGCCUACCAAGGCUACGACGGGUAGCUGGUCUGAGAGGAUGAUCAGCCACACUGGCACUGAGAUACGGGCCAGACUCCUACGGGAGGCAGCAGUGAGGAAUAUUGCGCAAUGGGCGAAAGCCUGACGCAGCGACGCCGCGUGGGGGAUGAAGGUUUUCGGAUUGUAAACCCCUUUCAUGAGGAAGAUAAAGUGGGUAACCACUUAGACGGUACCUCAAGAAGAAGCCACGGCUAACUUCGUG
rnacentral:rRNA from 1 species